UUUUUUUUGCUGUGGACAUGAGCACAAAAAACCAUUCCCACUACGUUGUCUGUAUGCUACUUUGCUAGCAAUCAACCUGUUGGGAUAUUUU
rnacentral:snoRNA from 1 species